rnacentral:lncRNA from 1 species
CUCACCUGUGUGCCCUGCAGGGCUUGGCAUGUGAGAAACACCAGCCUUUGGGCCCAGCAGAGGAUCAGCAGCUCUUACACCUCUGCUGACUGUCACAGGUGACCAAAUCGUUCCGUUUCAUUACCUGAAGUGAUUAGAUAUGAGAAUCAAAAAAGGAAAACUGUUAUUCUCUCAAGCUCAUCGUAACCCCACGUGGAAGUUAAGUGUGUGCCAUUAAAUCUCGUUAGAGCUAACAAUCAGCUUUAUUUACUUUUCAGUCACUUGCCCAUUGCCAUGACAGAAGCAUUGAUUUGUAUCUUUUAGAGAUCCAUAAGUGCAGACUGGAGCUCCAGUGGCACGGGUGGAUGGAAGCACUUCUGUAAGAAUGGGUAAAUGCAAUCAAUAAUGCCACCUGACAUCCAGGAGAGAAGAAAUAUCUUUACAACAUCAAGCAAUGCAAUCUGAUCCAUGUUUGGGGUAUUGGGAGACUCAUCAAAUAUCUGUGCAACGAGCAGGAAUUGAUUUUCCAGUCCCUGCCCACCUGAUGUGAAUGUGUGUGUGCAUCACUGAGGAGCAUUCAUGCAAACUUUGUCUGCUGAGCUGGUGGUCUCCUUGGCCCUGCUACUAUGGAGCUUUCAGGCACAAAUAGUCCUGCAGGUGUUCAGCAGGUGGAAUAAAGCUGCCAUAAAAGUGCAGGUGUGCACAGCAGUAGCUCUUUCAAGAGACUCUUCUGAAGCCUGGUUUGAUUUGGAGGGGGAAAAGGGCUCAAGAUAACAGAAAACUUCCGGGUUCAUACUGACACUUCAGAGAACUUCCAGAAUUAACAGCAUCAUUUGUAUAAUCUGACAGGAAAAGAAUUUGUUUAUUGUGUAGAAAAAUUGCAUGCAGAAAAUACAUUUUUUGUGGCCUUGUUUCUUAAUAUACACAUAAAAAAAUUCUAUUUCACUGUUUUGAUUGCUUUGAGCAACAUGAUUAAACUAGAAUUUUGAAUAUCAAAACUGUAACUUUUACGGUGUUUGGAGGGACGAGGUGAAAAAUGUGCAAGUCAAACCUAUCUGCCUUGGACAAUGGGGAACAAAUAGAUAUUGCAGAAGUAAUUGAUAAAUUGGGCUGCUCAUUUGGAUUAGUGACAAAUGACAGUUGAGUGGGAAUCACUGCAAUAAAUCCAGAGGGACACUGUUGAAAACA